UGGGGAAUCUUGCGCAAUGGGCGAAAGCCUGACGCAGCCAUGCCGCGUGAAUGAUGAAGGUCUUAGGAUUGUAAAAUUCUUUCAGUAGGGACGAUAAUGACGGUACCUACAGAAGAAGCCCCGGCUAACUUCGUGCCAGCAGCCGCGGUAAUACGAAGGGGGCUAGCGUUGCUCGGAAUUACUGGGCGUAAAGGGAGCGUAGGCGGACAUUUAAGUCAGGGGUGAAAUCCCGGGGCUCAACCUCGGAAUUGCCUUUGAUACUGGGUGUCUUGAGUGUGAGAGAGGUAUGUGGAACUCCGAGUGUAGAGGUGAAAUUCGUAGAUAUUCGGAAGAACACCAGUGGCGAAGGCGACAUACUGGCUCAUUACUGACGCUGAGGCUCGAAAGCGUGGGGAGCAAACAGGAUUAGAUACCCUGGUAGUCCACGCCGUAAACGAUGAUUGCUAGUUGUCGGGAUGCAUGCAUUUCGGUGACGCAGCUAACGCAUUAAGCAWUCCGCC
rnacentral:rRNA from 1 species